GAUGAACGCUGGCGGCGUGCCUAAUACAUGCAAGUCGAGCGAACAGACGAGGAGCUUGCUCCUCUGACGUUAGCGGCGGACGGGUGAGUAACACGUGGAUAACCUACCUAUAAUACUGGGAUAACUUCGGGAAACCGGAGCUAAUACCGGAUAAUAUAUUGAACCGCAUGGUUCAAUAGUGAAAGACGGUUUUGCUGUCACUUAUAGAUGGAUCCGCGCCGCAUUAGCUAGUUGGUAAGGUAACGGCUUACCAAGGCAACGAUGCGUAGCCGACGUGAGAGGGUGAUCGGCCACACUGGAACUGAGACACGGACCAGACUCCGACGGGAGGCAGCAGUAGGGAAUCUUCCGCAAUGGGCGAAAGCUUGACGGAGCAACGCCGCGUGAGUGAAGAAGGUCUUCGGAUCGUAAAACUCUGUUAUUAGGGAAGAACAAAUGUGUAAGUAACUAUGCACGUAGUGACGGUACCUAAUCAGAAAGCCACGGCUAACUACGUG
rnacentral:rRNA from 1 species